CAAUAGCGUAUAUUAAAGUUGUUGCAGUUAAAAUGCUCGUAGUCGGAUUUCGGGGCGGGUCCGCCGGUCUGCCGAUGGGUACGCACUGGCGGGCGCGUCCUUCCUUCCGGAGACUGGCCCUACUCUUAGCUGAGCGGGGUCGGGAGUCGGAUCGUUUACUUUGAAAAAAUCAGAGUGUUUCAAGCAGGCAGCUCGCUCUUGCAUGGAUUAGCAUGGGAUAAUGAAAUAGGACUUUGGUGCUAUUUUGUUGGUUUCGAACACCGAAGUAAUGAUUAACAGGGACAGUCAGGGGCACUCGUAUUCCGCCGAGAGAGGUGAAAUUCUCAGACCAGCGGAAGACGAACCACUGCGAAAGCAUUUGCCAGGGAUGUUUUCACUGA
rnacentral:rRNA from 1 species